GACGAACCGUGCGAACGUUGUUCGGAAUCACUGGGCUUAAAGGGCGCGUAGGCGGCCGGGUUGGUCGUGGGUGAAAUCCCCCAGCUUAACUGGGGAAUUGCCUACGAUACUGCCUGGCUCGAGGGAGGAAGGGCGGCCGGAACUGUCGGUGGAGCGGUGAAAUGCGUUGAGAUCGACAGGAACACCAGUGGCGAAGGCGGCUCACUGGCCCGUUACCGACGCUCAGGCGCGACAGCGUGGGGAGCAAACAGG
rnacentral:rRNA from 1 species